AUUCCCAAUUUACAGAUGAGAAAACUGAGAUUCAGAGAAGUUAAGGAAGUAGACCAAAAACAUCAUUGAAGCUGAGAGACCCAAGUCAAGGUAAAGAGAAGAAGGAACCUCUGUGAAUGAAGCCUAAAGAACCAAUAUGGCAGCUCAAUAUGCCACAAGCUACAGGGAAAGCCUUGAGGGGAGCUGUUGUCUCAGCAUCAUGGAACAGCAACAUGGAUGGAGCUGGAGGCCAUUAUUCUAAGA